UGAGACGGGCAGGGAGCCUUGGGGUGAGGCGUGUGGAGUGGGGAGAGGUCUGAGAAUGAAGGCCCCACUUGCUCUCCUUGAUUUAGGAGGUGCCUGUCUGAGGUGUACCCUAAGACGCCGUCCUCCCCGCCCCUCUUAGAAGGAGACGGGCACAUGGUUGGUGCCCUGCCGGUGGGCCCCGGUGGCAUCUGGUGGCGCUGGUUAAGUGCCCUCUGCUGCGGGAACAGAGUUGGCUCCAGACUGGCCGCUGGGAGUUGCUGCCCGAAGAGGUCCGGAGUCUGUCCAUGUCUGGGACGGAAGGCGGAUUCCUAGCCGACCACCGGGAGCCUGGGUUACAGGAAUUUAUGGGACACCUAUGCUGAUUCUCAGUGAAGCAACAGUAUUUACAAGUUGAAGGAAAUGAAGAUACUAAUUUCAAUAUGCUCAUUUCACCCUGAAAACAACCUGUAAGGCCAAGCCAAUUGGACUUUUAACUGACCUCUGUGUUCAACAAAAAAGUCAACUAAUGUCCUGGUAACAGUUGCUGAAGUGUGGAAGAAAAAUGCAGGGAUCCAAAGAAUUGCCCCAUCAAGCUUUUUUAAACUGAGGAAAAAGUUGUUACGGUCCUGAAUGGUCAAAAGAUUGUUGUAAUAUUUUUCCAGGAUGCUGG